CGCGUAGGUGGUAGUGUAAGUCUGGGGUGGAAUGCCGGGGGCUUAACCCUGGAAUGGCCUUGGGAAACUGCAUUACUUGAGUCAGUGAGGGGAGGGUAGAAUUCCUGGUGUAGCGGUGAAAUGCGUAGAUAAUCAGGAGGAAGGCCUGUGGCGAAGGCGGCCCUCUGGUGCUGGACUGACACUGAGGCGCGAAAGCGUGGGGGGCAAAACAGGAUUAGAUAACCCUGGUAGUCCACGCCCUAAACGGUGGGCACUAGGUGUAGGGCUCGUAAGGGUUCUGUGCCGCAGGGAAACCAUUAAGUGCCCCGCCUGGGGAGUACGGCCGCAAGGUUGAA
rnacentral:rRNA from 1 species